rnacentral:lncRNA from 1 species
CCCCCACAGUACUGGAGGGGUAUCUUCAAACCACCAACUUAAUACCCUGAGACAAGGCCGAAUAUAGCCCACGAAGAUCUCCCCAACGGCAGGAACCCGAGGGGGGCGCCAACCCGGACAGGAAGAUCACGUCAGUGACUCAACGCACUCAAGUGAAGCACCCCUCUUAGGGACAGCAUGGAAGAGCACCAGUAAGCCAGUGACUCAGCCCCCGUAACAGGGUUUGAGGCAGAGAAGGUACUGUAACAGGAGUAGUGUAGAGAGCAGAGAAGGUAAUGUAACAGGAGUAGUGUAGGGUUUAGUGAAGGUACUGUAACAGGAGUAGUGUAGGGUGUAGUGAAGGUACUGUAACAGGAGUAGUGUAGGGUGUAGUGAAGGUACUGUAACAGGAGUAGUGUAGGGUGUAGUGAAGGUACUGUAACAGGAGUAGUGUAGGGUGUAGUGAAGGUACUGUAACAGGAGUAGUGUAGGGUGUAGUGAAGGUACUGUGACAGGAGUAGUGUAGGGUGUAGUGAAGGUACUGUAACAGGAGUAGUAUAGGGUGUAGUGAAGGUACUGUAACAGGAGUAGAGUAGGGUGUAGUGAAGGUACUGUAACAGGAGUAGUGUAGGGUGUAGUGAAGGUACUGUAACAGGAGUAGUGUAGGGUGUAGUGAAGGUACUGUAACAGGAGUAGUGUAGGGUGUAGUGAAGGUACUGUAACAGGAGUAGUGUAGGGUGUAGUGAAGGUACUGUGACAGGAGAAGUGUAGGGUGUAGUGAAGGUACUGUAACAGGAGUAGUGUAGGGUGUAGUGAAGGUACUGUAACAGGAGUAGUGUAGGGUGUAGUGAAGGUACUGUGACAGGAGAAGUGUAGGGUGUAGUGAAGGUACUGUAACAGGAGUAGUGUAGGGUGUAGUGAAGGUUCUGUAACAGGAGUAGUGUAGGGAGUAGUGAAGGUACUGUGACAGGAGUAGUGUAGGGUGUAGUGAAGGUACUGUAACAGGAGUAGUGUAG